rnacentral:rRNA from 1 species
UGGGGAAUAUUGCACAAUGGGCGCAAGCCUGAUGCAGCCAUGCCGCGUGUGUGAAGAAGGCCUUCGGGUUGUAAAGCACUUUCAGCGAGGAGGAAGGGUUCAGUGUUAAUAGCACUGUUCAUUGACGUUACUCGCAGAAGAAGCACCGGCUAACUCCGUGCCAGCAGCCGCGGUAAUACGGAGGGUGCAAGCGUUAAUCGGAAUUACUGGGCGUAAAGCGCACGCAGGCGGUUUGUUAAGUCAGAUGUGAAAUCCCCGCGCUUAACGUGGGAACUGCAUUUGAAACUGGCAAGCUAGAGUCUUGUAGAGGGGGGUAGAAUUCCAGGUGUAGCGGUGAAAUGCGUAGAGAUCUGGAGGAAUACCGGUGGCGAAGGCGGCCCCCUGGACAAAGACUGACGCUCAGGUGCGAAAGCGUGGGGAGCAAAACAGGAUUAGAUACCCUGGUA